rnacentral:rRNA from 1 species
GAAAGCUCCCUUCGGGGAGCAAGUAGAGUGGCGCACGGGUGAGUAACACGUAGGUAAUCUACCUUUGGAUGGGGAAUAACAACCGGAAACGGUUGCUAAUACCGCAUAAUGCAGCGGCACCUAAUGGUGACAGUUGUUAAAGCGGGGGAUCGCAAGACCUCGCGUCUGAAGAGGAGCCUGCGGCGGAUUAGCUAGUUGGUAAGGUAACGGCUUACCAAGGCGAUGAUCCGUAGCCGGCCUGAGAGGGCGGUCGGCCACACUGACACUGACAUACGGGUCAGACUCCUACGGGAGGCAGCAGUCGGGAAUUUUGGGCAAUGGGCGAAAGCCUGACCCAGCAACGCCGCGUGGAGGAUGAAAUCCCUCGGGAUGUAAACUUCGCAAGAACGGGAAGAAUAAGUAAGGGUUAAUAUCUCUUACGAUGACGGUACUGUUUGUAAGCUCCGGCUAACUCCGUGCCAGCAGCCGCGGUAAUACGGGGGGAGCAAGCGUUGUUCGGAUUUACUGGGCGUAAAGGGCGCGUAGGCGGCCACCGCAAGUCGACUGUGAAAUCUCCGGGCUUAACCCGGAACGGUCAGCCGAUACUGCGGGGCUAGAGUGCAGAAGGGGCAACUGGAAUUCUCGGUGUAGCGGUGAAAUGCGUAGAUAUCGAGAGGAACACCUGCGGCGAAGGCGGGUUGCUGGGCUGACACUGACGCUGAGGCGCGAAAGCUAGGGGAGCGAACGGGAUUAGAUACCCCGGUAGUCCUAGCCUUAAACGAUGAAUGCUUGGUGUCUGGGGUUAUAU